rnacentral:misc_RNA from 1 species
UCCGGUUUGGCACCGGCAGUCUCCCUAGAGUUCCCGGCAUGAUCCGCUGGCAACUAAGGACAGGGGUUGCGCUCGUUGCUCCACUUAAGGCAACACCUCACGGCACGAGCUGACGACAGCCAUGCACCACCUGUCACUCUGUCCCCCGAAGGGGAAUGUCCUAUCUCUAGGAGUGUCAGAGGAUGUCAAGACCUGGUAAGGUUCUUCGCGUUGCUUCGAAUUAAACCACAUACUCCACCGCUUGUGCGGGCCCCCGUCAAUUCCUUUGAGUUUCAGUCUUGCGACCGUACUUCCCAGGCGGCGAACUUAACGCGUUAGCUUCGAUACUGAGUGCCAAGUUGCACCCAACAUCCAGUUCGCAUCGUUUAGGGCGUGGACUAC